rnacentral:rRNA from 1 species
GAUGAACGCUGGCGGCGUGCUUAACACAUGCAAGUCGAACGGAAAGGCCCAAGCUUGCUUGGGUACUCGAGUGGCGAACGGGUGAGUAACACGUGGGUGAUCUGCCCUGCACUUCGGGAUAAGCCUCGGAAACUGGGUCUAAUACCGGAUAGGACCACUUCUUGGAUGUUGUGGUGGAAAGUUUUUUCGGUGUGGGAUGAGCUCGCGGCCUAUCAGCUUGUUGGUGGGGUACUGGCCUACCAAGGCGUCGCCGGGUAGCCGGCCCGGGAGGGUGGACGGCCACACUGAGACUGGGAGACGGCCCAGACUCCUACGGGAGGCAGGAGUGGGGAAUAUUGCACCAGGGGCGCGAGCCUGAUGCAGAGACGCCGCGGGGGGGAGGACGGACUUAGGGUUGCAAACCCCGUUCGCUAGGGACGAAGCGUUUUGUGACGGUACCUGGAGAAGAAGCACCGGCUAACUACGUG